AUGAUGGAUAAACAAGCAACUGCUAAAUCAUCUACCAUUUUCACCUCGGAUGCUGUUAAAGGACAUAAGAAGAGGGAUGGAACAUUACAAGCUGCAAAACGGAAUGUUUCUUUAGCAUCUAAAAUCAAAACUAAAUUAAUAAAUAACUCAUCUAUGUUUAAAGUAUCUUUAAAACAAAAUAAUAAAGCAUUAGCUGUGGCUUUGAGUGUGGAGAAAGAAAAUUCUCGGAAGCUAAAGAAUGAGAAGAUUUUUCUUCAGAAGGAAGUAGAAAAGCUGCAGCUUCAUAAUAUCUUGCUUCGUCAAAAACUAAACUGUUUGAAUAAAACUCUUACGGAAAUAGAAGCAUUUCUGAAUGAUAACCUCUUAACUGCAAUAGAAAUAAGCAGUCUUUCUAAGAAUUUUCAGAGUUCUCUUCCUCUGUCACCUGGUCCAAGUAGCCCUACUGAUGACCAGUUCAAGACUACAUGUCAGUCUGCUCGAUCUGUAGAACUGCUGGUGAAGCUUCCUUUAAUUGCAACAGCUAAUGGAAACCAGCAAGAUAGCCCUUCUGUGUGUGAAAUACCAAAUUCUUUCAAGUGUACUGCUAUUCUGUCAAAGGAAAUGCAUGCAGAUCAAGCCAAGUGUGCAUUAUCAUUGCCUUCUGGUACAAAUAGUCAAAAGUCAAUGGAAAUAGACCCAAUGGAAACAACCGUUGAGAAAAAUAUAUUUUUAAAAGAAAAUCAAUUAUGCCCAGAACUAACUUGCAGUAGUGCCUUCCUGACUCAUGUCAAAAAUACACAAUCUUUAAGACAGUCUGAGGAGCUUACAAAACAAUAUAAUGAUAAUUUGUUGCCAUUCUGUGGAAAUGUGACUGAAAGAAAGAAAUGUCUAGCACUUCGUAAGUCAAAAACUCAACCUACUAUAAAGGAUUUUGAUAAAACAUGUACCUCAAAUCUGCCUCAUCAUGGUAUCAAAAGCGGCAGCAACACCAAUGACAUGAAUUUGCAGGAAAGUUCAAGUGACUUGCCUCACAUUAUUCCUUCACCUCUUAAAUUUAGCAAGGAAAGUAAGACAGAUUUUAAGAAGCUGCUUUUUACUGACAAGAUUACACCUGAAGAAACUCUUUAUGAUGCUGAUAUGGAGUUGACUGCCAGUGAUGCAGGUGAACUACUCACAGUUACAGCGAAAGACAAAGAUAAAUUACACCAAAAUAAAAAUAGUAAUGCCAAUUCUGAUAAAAUUUUAGCAAAUUUCAGAAAAGUAAGAUAUUCUAAGAAGGAUAAAGAUAAAAUUAAAAGCAAGACUGAAGUCAGUUCAAAUUUGUAUGCGGAAGAAGGGCACACUAGGGCUGACAAUACUGAAGUUUCAAAAACUACUGACUCACAACCUCAACUAUUCCGAAGUCAGAUGGAACAGCUACCUACAGGAAAUUCUGUAGGGAAACAGAGUUUGCUAAAUACCAGCAAAUAUUAUCAAGCACAAUAUUGUCCAAGUAAAGCUAAAGAUACUAGGAGGACAUACCAGGUUAACUUAAUGAGUCCAGGAAAACAGGAGACAAAUACAGAAACUUUCUCAGAAAAGUCUGAAGACAUGGAAGGCAAAAUACAAAAAGCAGACUUAAACUCCUCUAUUAACAAGACCCCACCAGAAGUUUAUUAUGCUGAAAAUUUACCAUUCCAAGAUAACACUUCUAAUGCAUUGCCUUUACAGUGGGACUUUCUGCAUACAAAUGAGAAACACAGCAGACCAAAAACAAACAGGAAAACCUUUCAAAACCCUUCUAAAAUGAACAUAGCAAAAUACUGUAGAGAGGAAAAUGGGCAGUAUGGAGAAUAUCUUUCAAAAAAGUCUCAAACAGAGAUACACCAACAUGACAGCAAGAGCAAACAAGACCAGAGGAAUAUUAUAACGAGAAAAUACAACAAAAAAAGUAGUUACAGACAAAGUGGAGAAACUGAAAGUGACAGCAUUCAUAAAAUUACUCAGAAAGUACACCAAAAAAGUAGCAAUUUCUCACCAGGCACAUUAAAAUGUACCUUGGCAAAGGCUAGCCAGAAAGCAUAUAUAAUACCAAAAGAAAAUCUUAUACAGUUCUCACUUAGUAAAAAUGAAGAAUUAAAAAAUAAGGAUGCAUUGCAUGCAGAGGCUAUUUGUGGAAAUAAAAUAACUGAAACUCAGCAAAUGCAAGUAGCUUUAGUUACUCAGAAUGGUGUAGCUAUGAAUACACCACAAGCUAAAGGACAAGUUGAGGAUGAUGCUAAUACAUUAAAGAAAGCAGAUUCCUCAUCAGUGGCACAUAAAAACCCUCACAUUAGUAAUUCCCCUGAUAAUCAGGUAAAGCAGAAACAGAGGUUUGGUUCUGAUAGUACUGAGACCAGACCAGAAAAAAGUUAUUUCAGGCACAUUGAUCAGGGGGGGCAGAAUAUUUUGGAUGACCAGAAAGUCCCUCAUGAGAUAGAUUCCUUUAUGAGCAAGUUAAACCCUAUGGUUCAAAAAUCAGAAUUUUUAACAUUCUUACCUGUCGAAUGUUCUAAGAAUAUGCCAUUAAAUGUAGACAGCUUUUUCCAGGAAGGUCUUUCCAAUGUGGAGCUCCCAGCUCUUGAUAACCACAAUGCUUCCAUGAACUUCUCUAUACUGAAAAACUCUGAAAUCUGUGGGGAAAAUGCUCAUAAUAAAGCACUGGAUACUGGAAAAGCAGAAGAAAAACCAGAUCAUACUUCUAAAGAGACUUACAAAAAGACUCUGACACCUUGCCAUGGGAGUAUGGCUUUGCAAGAUCUGACAAAUACUAGUAUACGAUCCCACACUUCCUUACCUAAAUCCUCCAAAACCUUAGAAGAAAACUCAGCAGCACCAUCUAGACGAGGAAGAACCACUAUUUGCUACAAAGAACCCAAUCUAAACAGCAAAUUAAGGCGUGGGGAUCAGUUUACAGAUACACAAUUUCUGGAUUCCCCAGUCUAUAAAGUAAAAAACAAAAGAAGUUUUAAAAGUAAAUCAAAAUUUAUUUGAAGAAGAGAACUGCCUUGAUGAACAAUACUUCUAAAAUGGGUACAAUUAAAAAAAAAAAAAAAAUGUUUAGCAGUACAGAGUGCUUAUUGUUCUUUGAUUAGUAAAGGUCUUCCAAAGUGGAAUUUCCUGGAAAGGAGCCCCUAUACAAAGGACACAGGAUACUUUACUGAGGACGGCAAAUACAGCUUCCAUUGUAACCUGGGAAGUUGAUGGAGAAGAUAGUCCUGGAAACUGUUUCUACACCUGUUAAAGACAAGAAGGUGAUUGGGAGUAGUCAGCAUUGAUUUACAAAGGGGAAAUCAUGCUCUAUUAACCUGAUAGCCUUCUACAAUGAGACAACUAGCUUGGUGGGUGAGGGGAGAGCAGUAGAUGUUGUUUGUCUCAACUUUAGUAAGGCUUUUGACAUUAUCUCUGAUAACAUCCCACAGACAAGCUGACGAGGUAUGUGUUAGUUAAAUGCACAGUGAGGUGGAUUGAAAACUGGCUGAACUGCCAGUCCCGCAGGGUUGCGAUCAGCAGCAUACUGUCCAGUUGGAGGCAAAACCCUAGAGCUCCCUAGGGUUUUAUACUGGGGGCAGUACUGUUUAACAUCUUCAUUAACAACUUAUAUGAUGAGACAGAGUGCAGCCUACACAAAUUUGGAGUUGAUACAGAACUGGGAGGAGUGGCUGAAACACUGGAUGGUUAUGCUGCUAUUCAGAGGGACCUGGACAGUCUGGAGAAA